CGCGGCUACGGCUUCCCCAUUCCCUACAGUUGCGGCGGUGUCGAUGGGACUGUACAGCCACUGUGCCACUACCACGCCGGGAGGCGCUGACGCCACCGACGAUUGUUGCUGCCGUCAUCCUCGUCGCGCCCGUUAUUCUCACGGCGAUAACUGUAACAACUCUUCAACGAACGAUGCGGAGUGAUGGCCGCAAACAAAUUUAUGUUCUCGUGCGACUACGACACCGCACAGAACAAAAAAUUUCGAAUCCGUUCAACGAAGGUAGUACCUCCGUUUCGGAGGUCCGGCUGGAGUGGUCGAAUUGAUUGAAACAACCCUUUAAUUAAUCACGUUAGUUCAACGCGUACGACUAUAAGAAUUGGUAAGGUGUCGAUAACUGUCUCGAAGCGAGAGCAGCACAUCUACGUCUUGGAAGUUGCGUGGUGGGGUACUGUCCACUGUUGCCUUACUGAGCUGUUGAUUAAAACCAUUAAGCAGCCGAAUAGGUAAACCCGUCGACUACCAGAUAUACAUGUUACGGGUUGGUCGACAUUUGUUUUCUUUGUUAAGCCCGACUUUCAGUUAACUAGCACCAAUUGUUCUAAUCGUUCUCGCCGUUUUCCGAGAGCACCACUGCUGUAGGAACACAAGUUCGUUGAUCGUUGUUGACCCGUUGGGGUGUCGUCUUCCGGUUCCUCUCCUCGUCUGGGGUCUUCCGUCUCUCACUCCUCCACGGUCGUCCGUCGGAGCCGAACCCGGUACACACGCACACAACACAUUAGUCCGACAACCCGGCUGGUUCCGGACGCACGGACACACACCAAUUCAUCCACCAGCUGGGUGACACACUUAGUAGCUUCUUAUGUCUGAACCUAGGUGUUUCUAGUCCGUUCUAGGCUAGAUGGAAAGGGGA
rnacentral:rRNA from 1 species